CCGAGUUGCAAAACUCCCAAACCCCAAUGUUUAUCUAUCUCAAAAACGUCUGCUUCGGCGGGCGGCCCCAGGGCGGGGCCGCAGCCCAGCGCUUCGGCGCCAGGCGCCCGCCGGAGAGGACACCCCAAAAACUCUUGUUUUCAAUGAAACUCUGAGCAUAAAAGACAAAUAGUCA
rnacentral:misc_RNA from 1 species